rnacentral:rRNA from 1 species
UGACCGCUGGCGGCAGGCCUAACACAUGCAAGUCGACCGGUAACAGGAAGCAGCUUGCUGCUUUGCUGACGAGUGGCGGACGGGUGAGUAAUGUCUGGGAAACUGCCCGAUGGAGGGGGAUAACUACUGGAAACGGUAGCUAAUACCGCAUAACGUCGCAAGACCAAAGAGGGGGACCUUAGGGCCUCUUGCCAUCGGAUGUGCCCAGAUGGGAUUAGCUAGUAGGUGGGGUAACGGCUCACCUAGGCGACGACCCCUAGCUGGUCUGAGAGGAUGACCAGCCACACUGGAACUGAGACACGGUCCAGACUCCUACGGGAGGCAGCAGUGGGGAAUAUUGCACAAUGGGCGCAAGCCUGAUGCAGCCAUGCCGCGUGUAUGAAGAAGGCCUUCGGGUUGUAAAGUACUUUCAGCGGGGAGGAAGGGAGUAAAGUUAAUACCUUUGCUCAUUGACGUUACCCGCAGAAGAAGCACCGGCUAACUCCGUG